AUCUAGCUGAUGAGUCCCAAAUAGGACGAAACGUGCCUCUUGGAU
rnacentral:hammerhead_ribozyme from 1 species